GGGGCUCAAAGACUCCAAUGAGGAUACCAAUUAGAACUUUUUCAUUUAAGAAAUGAUUGUGGCUUGUAAGUUUCUUAUCCCAUAAAGGUUUGUCACUUCCCUCACUUCACCUUCAUAAGAACCUGUGUUUUCAUCAGUAAUAUUACCUACCUAAUUUCCUGUCUGAGAACUCUGGUGACAUGUUAAUAGUUGCAGGGUCUUGCCACUUUGUUAGGUAAGUGUCACCUGCCUAGUCUAGGCGGCACAGAAUCCUUCCUUUUAUCCAGUUCAUUCCAGCAAUCACAGUUGAUACAGUGCUUGGUGACAUACCACCUUCCCCUUCUCUUUCAAGUCCCACUCAUCUGAGGAAGAAAAUGGCAGAAGAAAGCUGUGUAGGGAUUCACUGUGGGGCCAAAGAGCAAAGAUGAACGUAAGUGCAAGCUCGUUCUUUUGUGAGCAACUGAAUAAAAAGAUCAUAUUGAGGAAACCAAAAGGCACAUGAUAGGAAGUGCCGGUGCGUACUUUUGUAGUUCAGGUGUCCUGUUGUCUUGGUUACUGAGUAGCGUAGUCUACAGCAUAUAAACUAAUGGUUCAAAAUGCAUAUACUGAUGGCUUCUAAAAACAGGAACCUUCCAGAUAGUAAUACAGUUUCCCCCUCAAGGUUUUCCUCCUCUUCAGCAAGAAGAAAUACUGGCCAGCUAGGCAGUUUCCCUAUCGUCCCUGCUGAGUCUGAGACACUUCAGCACCUUGAGUUACUGCAGCAACUGCGAGGGCGCUGCUCAGGGUCCACAGAUGCUGCUGGCAUUUAUCCCAGGACAACUGCUGCCACCCGUUUCCACUUUUAAGAAACUUGCUGGAUUUUUGUGUUCUUUCACCCAGAGCAAGGCUUUUUGGAGCCUAGUAAGGUAAUCGCUCAGCACUUGCUAGAUUCUGUCAUUAGCGUAGCGUGUCAAAACACGCACACCACCUUUUACAUUGCAACUGUGAAGUUUUGUCCCUCCCAUUUUCUCACUACUCAAACGGUAUCUUAGUAUUGGGCCCAAAUUCCAAAUUGUCAGUCAGGCAAGGUUCUGUUAAGUCAGCAGCAUACACUCUCCAGCUCCGUGUUGAAGAAUUGAGCAGGGAGGAGCCCACUCGGUGGCGCUUCAGUUCCCGUUUUCUUUCCCCUCACCCUUACAUCAUGUUCCUCCUGAGGGUCUCCUCCAAGGACAGCCCCUGCUGAGACUUGAACCAGCCAAACCUAGUUCUCUGGAGCACAGGCUCAGGGGCUAGACAGGUGGCGGGUGUCCCGAGUACCAGGUUCACUUCGGUGUUACAAUUAACUGUGUUUUUUUUACUGUUUCUGUUACAGUUUUGCUAACUUAUCAGAAGGUCGGAAAGUUUGGCUGUUUCAGUUUGCAUUAUUUAUUUAUGAUGAUUUUUGUCAUUGUCUUUUAUACGUUUGGGUUAUAAAUUAUGUAAAUGUUAAAAUGAGCAUCUCAAAGAAGUCUGUUAAAUUGUGACCGGAAAAAAAAAAACAAUCAGGUGUAUUUUCAAAACAGAGAGUCCCAGUUUUAUGAAUCAUAGAUAUAAACUAGAAAUUCUAUAACGAUCUAUAAGAAAGAAGAAUCCAAGAACUGAAUAAAUGCUAUUUAAUAACCUCCUUGUAGUGUAGAAGGUCUGUGAUGCUGGUAACAGAUUUCUUAGAAAUGCUGCUCACUGUUGAACUAACAUCCUGUUCAGUUCUGCUCCGGCGGAAGCAGAAAGGUUUCUCGGCUGUUAAAUCCUAAAGAUCAAUAUAAUUUAUUUAUGUAAGAGAAACAUGCAAUCAAUAUAUUUUUGAACCUUUUAAGUACUAAUUUUCUUUUUAUCAAGUAGAAAAAAAUGUAUUUGCCCUAAAUCCUUAAAAAUACAAAUGCUAUAAAACCUCCUGUAUUUUGCAAGCCUUACUGCAAUGAGCAUUGUAGACACCCAGCAGGGUCUGCUCUUCCUGUCGUCUCCCGUGUUGUCUCAUGUGGAGAGCUCCUCUCCCAGCUUCCACCUAAACUUCCAAGUAGGUCACAGGGUCCGCUGCGGACCCAACUUAACCACCAGCAUGCGCAAUCCCUUGUUAUAUCUUAACCGAACCUGUAUGUUAACUCUCGGGUGUUCAGGCUUCUGUUGACUGCUGUUGUGAUACUGUUUGCAAAAUGAAAUUGACACUGUGGAUUAUUUGCUCUGUAAGGCAUAAGUGCUUCUUAUGAUUAUUUUAACGUUCCGAGAGCAAAAGCCAAAUUUAAACUCUCUUCAGCAAACUUGAGCCUCUUCAUCUAAUUCCAUGUCACUCAUAGCCAUAACUUCUCUUGGUCAUCUUCACCCAUGUUUCACAUAAUAAAUUGUCUGUGGUCU
rnacentral:lncRNA from 1 species